rnacentral:rRNA from 1 species
GUGCAGCAGUCGCGAAACUUUACAAUGUGCGAAAGCACGAUAAGGGAACUCUGAGUGCCUCCUAAGGAGGCUGUUCAGGUGUCUAAAAGCACCUGGAGUAAGGGCUGGGUAAGACCGGUGCCAGCCGCCGCGGUAACACCGGCAGCCCAGGUGGUAGCCACUUUUAUUGGGUCUAAAGCGUCCGUAGCCGGUUGAGUAAGUUCCUUGGGAAAUUUGGCUGCUCAACAGUCAAGCUUCCAGGGAAUACUGCUCGACUUGGGACUGGGAGAGGUCAGAGGUACUCCAGGGGUAGGGGUGAAAUCCAUUAAUCCCUGGGGGACCACCGGUAGCGAAGGCGUCUGACCAGACCAGGUCCGACGGUGAGGGACGAAGGCUAGGGUCGCGAACCGGAUUAGAUACCCGUGUAGU